UCGGGAAUAUUGCGCAAUGGAGGAAACUCUGACGCAGUGACGCCGCGUAUAGGAAGAAGGUUUUCGGAUUGUAAACUAUUUUAGUCAGGGAAGAAAAAGACGGUACCUGAAGAAUAAGCUCCGGCUAACUACGUGCC
rnacentral:rRNA from 1 species